rnacentral:lncRNA from 1 species
UAUCUUGUAUGCUGUAAAACUUGCAUAUCUAAAACUUGCUAGCUUGAAUGUUCUAAGCAUGAUGUAACAUUUGCUAAAUUUUCUGGCUUCAAAACUGCAUGAUGAUAAAACUUGAUAUUAUGUUUUUCAUGUAAUGAGUUGAACCAAUAUCACAAACACUUGAUUGUGGUACUUCUCCUUUUUGUUGAUGACAAAGGGGGAGAAGUAUGUUGAUGACAUGACAUGUUAUGCAUAAGUUCAUGAUGACGUGUUGCAAGUAUUCAUGAUGAAUAUUGCAAUGACUUGAAUUCAGUUUGAAUUCAAGAUUCUAUCAAUAUGGCAUAUUGAUAGGGG